UGGGGAAUCUUAGACAAUGGGCGAAAGCCUGAUCUAGCGACGCCGCGUGGGUGACGAAGGCCUUCGGGUUGUAAAGCCCUUUUGCCAAGGAAGAUGAUGACGGUACUUGGCGAAUAAGCACCGGCUAACUCCGUGCCAGCAGCCGCGGUAAGACGGAGGGUGCUAGCGUUGUUCGGAAUCACUGGGCGUAAAGGGCGCGUAGGCGGCCGAUCAAGUUGGGUGUGAAAGCCCGGGGCUCAACCUCGGAACGGCACUCAAAACUGAUGGGCUUGAGACCGAGAGAGGAGGGUGGAAUUCCCAGUGUAGAGGUGAAAUUCGUAGAUAUUGGGAGGAACACCGGUGGCGAAAGCGGCUCUCUGGCUCGGUUCUGACGCUGAGGCGCGAAAGCGUGGGGAGCAAACAGGAUUAGAUACCCCCGUAGUCC
rnacentral:rRNA from 1 species